UACGAAGGGGGCUAGCGUUGUUCGGAAUCACUGGGCGUAAAGGGUGCGCAGGCGGAUUUUUAAGUCAGGGGUGAAAUCCCGAGGCUCAACCUCGGAACUGCCUUUGAUACUGUGGAUCUUGAGUCCGGGAGAGGUGAGUGGAACUGCGAGUGUAGAGGUGAAAUUCGUAGAUAUUCGCAAGAACACCAGUGGCGAAGGCGGCUCACUGGCCCGGAACUGACGCUGAGGCGCGAAAGCGUGGGGAGCAAACAGG
rnacentral:rRNA from 1 species